CAGUCGCCGCGGUAAUACGUAGGUCCCGAGCGUUGUCCGGAUUUAUUAGGCGUAAAGCGAGCGCAGGCGGUUAGAUAAGUCUGAAGUUAAAGGCUGUGGCUUAACCAUAGUACGCUUUGGAAACUGUUUAACUUGAGUGCAAGAGGGGAGAGUGGAAUUCCAUGUGUAGCGGUGAAAUGCGUAGAUAUACGGAGGAGCACCGGUGGCGAAAGCGGCUCUCUGGCUUGUAACUGACGCUGAGGCUCGAAAGCGAGGGGAGCAAACAGGAUUAGAUACCCCCGUAGUCCCCGUCUCUUAUACA
rnacentral:rRNA from 1 species